rnacentral:misc_RNA from 1 species
CGUGUUGUUGAAUUUGGCUGUUCAUGUUUACAACAGUUCAGGAGACAUUAGGAAGAUCAUCAUCACGAGUUAAAUUCACAUCUUUACUUUUGAUGAUUGUUCUACAGCAAGAUUGUCCCCAUAAGUGCAAAUGAUGAAUUCAAUCCUUAUGGCUCCCUUCAGUUUUCUUUUCAGCACUUUCUUUCUCUUUCUCUGCCUUUUCUUUCUCAGCCUUCUGUUUCAGCUUCUCCAGCCUCUCCCUCUCCUUUUUCUGGAUAUAGACAUUCUCAGCAGCGCGUUCCUCUUCGCUCAGGACACGGCCCUUGCCAUCGCUGAAGUAGCGAGUUGCCCCCCGAGUUGAAUCCAUCGAACGAGUAAUACAAAGUCGGCUCAGUGCAAAUCUGGUCGCCAUUUCUUGAGUUUUGGCGAUGAUUAAAACGCUUCAACUCUUACUUUGUUGAAACGAAAUAUAGAUGGAUUGAUCCUUUGUUUGGAUUGAGAGGAAUGGAG